rnacentral:rRNA from 1 species
CCUACGGGGGGCAGCAGUGGGGAAUAUUGCGCAAUGGGCGAAAGCCUGACGCAGCGACGCCGCGUGAGGGAUGAAGGUCUUCUGAUCGUAAACCUCUUUCAGCAGGGAAGAACGGUCACUGUGCUAAUCAUCAUUGAAUUUACGGUACCUGCAAAGGAAGCACCGGCUAACUCCGUGCCAGCAGCCGCGGUAAUACGUAGGGUGCGAGCGUUAAUCGGAAUUAUUGGGCGUAAAGCGCUCGUAGGCGGUAUGUCAAGUCAAGGGUGAAAUCCCCGCGCUCAACGUGGGAACUGCCUUUGAAACUGGAAAACUGGAGUGUGUGAGAGGAUAGUGGAAUUCGAGGUGUAGGAGUGAAAUCCGUAGAUAUCUGGAGGAACAUCAGUGGCGAAGGCGACUAUCUGGCACAUAACUGACGCUGAGGAGCGAAAGCGUGGGUAGCAAACAGGAUUAGAUACCCGAGUAGUC